rnacentral:rRNA from 1 species
GACGAACGCUGGCGGCGUGCUUAACACAUGCAAGUCGAACGGAAAGGCCCUGCUUUUGUGGGGUGCUCGAGUGGCGAACGGGUGAGUAACACGUGAGUAACCUGCCCUUGACUUUGGGAUAACUUCAGGAAACUGGGGCUAAUACCGGAUAGGAGCUCCUGCUGCAUGGUGGGGGUUGGAAAGUUUCGGCGGUUGGGGAUGGACUCGCGGCUUAUCAGCUUGUUGGUGGGGUAGUGGCUUACCAAGGCUUUGACGGGUAGCCGGCCUGAGAGGGUGACCGGCCAAAAUGGGACUGAGGUUACGCCCAGACUCCUUCGGGAGGCAACAGGUGGGAAUAUUUCACAAUGGGCGGGAGGCUUAUGCAAGAACGCCGCGUGGGGGAAGACCGCCUUCGGGUUGUAAACCGCUUUCGCCUGUGACGAAGCGUGAGUGACGGUAAUGGGUAAAGAAGCACCGGCUAACUACGUG